CCUACGGGAGGCAGCAGUGAGGAAUAUUGGUCAAUGGACGAGAGUCUGAACCAGCCAAGUAGCGUGAAGGAUGACUGCCCUAUGGGUUGUAAACUUCUUUUAUAUGGGAAUAAAACGUUCCACGUGUGGGAUUUUGUAUGUACUAUAUGAAUAAGGAUCGGCUAACUCCGUGCCAGCAGCCGCGGUAAUACGGAGGAUCCGAGCGUUAUCCGGAUUUAUUGGGUUUAAAGGGAGCGUAGGUGGAUUGUUAAGUCAGUUGUGAAAGUUUGCGGCUCAACCGUAAAAUUGCAGUUGAAACUGGCAGUCUUGAGUACAGUAGAGGUGGGCGGAAUUCGUGGUGUAGCGGUGAAAUGCUUAGAUAUCACGAAGAACUCCGAUUGCGAAGGCAGUUCACUGGACUGUAACUGACACUGAGGCUCGAAAGUGUGGGUAUCAAACAGGAUUAGAUACCCUUGUAGUC
rnacentral:rRNA from 1 species